AGUCCAUCACCAUCAUGAAGAUCAUCAUCAAGGACACAAUGGAAACUUUUUUGACGAUGCUGCAAGUGUGUUGGAUAACUUCUUCGGAUAGAAAUCAAAAUGUAUUAUCUCAUGAUAAAGCAAAUCAUCAAAUUGAAAUAUAAUUAAGUUUACAUUUUUUCAUUGAUCUCUGAUUGAUCUUUAAUAUAAGUCUUGAUGAAAAUCUUCAAACCGAAAUUUCUCUGUAUUUGGCAAUAAAGCACAAUUCUCUUUGCUUC